AUUGAACGCUGGCGGCAUGCUUUACACAUGCAAGUCGAACGGCAGCGCGGGCUUCGGCCUGGCGGCGAGUGGCGAACGGGUGAGUAAUGCAUCGGAACGUGCCCAGUAGUGGGGGAUAGCCCGGCGAAAGCCGGAUUAAUACCGCAUACGACCUGAGGGUGAAAGCGGGGGACCGAAAGGCCUCGCGCUAUUGGAGCGGCCGACGUCGGAUUAGCUAGUUGGUGGGGUAAAGGCUUACCAAGGCGACGAUCCGUAGCUGGCCUGAGAGGACGACCAGCCACACUGGGACUGAGACACGGCCCAGACUCCUACGGGAGGCAGCAGUGGGGAAUUUUGCGCAAUGGGGGAAACCCUGAUCCAGCCAUGCCGCGUGAGGGAAGAAGGCCUUCGGGUUGUAAAACGCUUUUGUUCGGGAAGAACUCCUCUGGGCUAAUACCCCGGGGGGAUGACGGUACCGGAAGAAUAAGCACCGGCUAACUACGUG
rnacentral:rRNA from 1 species